GCCAGCAGCCGCGGUAAUUCCAGCUCCAAUAGCGUAUAUUAAAGUUGUUGCAGUUAAAAAGCUCGUAGUUGAAGUUCUGAUUGUUCGGGCCUCGCGCUUUAUAGCCGAGGAACCGACAGUCAUCCGCUUGCAAAUAUAUGUUCGCCUUUAACCGGGUGGCUAUAUGAGUAAGCAAUUUACCUUGAGAAAAACAGAGUGUUCCAGGCAGGUUUGUCCGGAAUGCAUUAGCAUGGAAUAAUAGAAUAUGACUGAAGUCGAUUUAUUGGUUUAAGGCUUUAGUAAUGAUUAAUAGGAACAGUCGGGGGCAUUGGUACUUGACAGUCAGAGGUGAAAUUCUAGGAUUUGUCAAAGACUAACAAAUGCGAAAGCAUUUGCCAAGGAUGUUUUCAUUAAUCAAGAACGAAAGUUAGGGGAUCAAAGACGAUCAGAUACCGUCCUAGUCUUAACUAUAAACUAUACCGACUCGGAUUCAGAUGAAUCAAAAAGUUCAUUUGGGACCGUAGGAGAAAUCAAAGUUUUUUGGGUUCUGGG
rnacentral:rRNA from 1 species